rnacentral:rRNA from 1 species
AUUGAACGCUGGCGGCAUGCCUUACACAUGCAAGUCGAACGGUAACAGGUCUUCGGAUGCUGACGAGUGGCGAACGGGUGAGUAAAUACAUCGGAACGUGCCCGAUCGUGGGGGAUAACGAAGCGAAAGCUUUGCUAAUACCGCAUACAAUCUACGGAUGAAAGCAGGGGACCGCAAGGCCUUGCGCGAACGGAGCGGCCGAUGGCAGAUUAGGUAGUUGGUGGGAUAAAAGCUUACCAAGCCGACGAUCUGUAGCUGGUCUGAGAGGACGACCAGCCACACUGGGACUGAGACACGGCCCAGACUCCUACGGGAGGCAGCAGUGGGGAAUUUUGGACAAUGGGCGAAAGCCUGAUCCAGCCAUGCCGCGUGCAGGAUGAAGGCCUUCGGGUUGUAAACUGCUUUUGUACGGAACGAAAAGACUCUGGUUAAUACCUGGGGUCCAUGACGGUACCGUAAGAAUAAGCACCGGCUAACUACGUGCCAGCAGCCGCAGUAAAAC